CCCGAACGGUGGAUCACUCGGCUUGCGGAU
rnacentral:rRNA from 1 species